rnacentral:rRNA from 1 species
UGCAGAAUCCCGUGANCCAUCGAGUUUUUGAACGCAAGUUGCGCCUAAAGCCGUCAGGCCGAGGGCACGUCUGCCUGGGCGUCACGCAUCGCGUCGCCCCCCUCCUCGACCUUGUGUCGAGUUGUGGGGAGCGGAAGAUGGCCUCCCGUGCUCCUCACCGGGGUGCGGUUGGCCCAAAUGUGAGUCCUUGGCGGCGGAUGUCAUGGCGAUUGGUGGUCGUACCUAGCGUGCAUAUCGUCGCGCCGUGCCCCCGUUGUCUGUGGGACUAAUGACCCUUUUGGAGCCUCUCUACUUGAGUAGCUCUUCGACCGCGACCCCAGGUCAGGCGGGACUACCCGCUGAGUUUAA